rnacentral:pre_miRNA from 1 species
UCUCAUGGAUGAGCAAAGAGUGGUUCCAUGAGAUGGGAUCUACUCGUUGUGAAGAUGCUGUGAA